rnacentral:tRNA from 1 species
GCGGGCGUGGCGGAAUGGCAGACGCGCUAGACUUAGGAUCUAGUGCCCAAUGGCGUGGGAGUUCAAGUCUCUUCGCCCGCACCA